AUGUUGGUGUUACUAAAUCAGCCUUACCCAGUACUGCCAUCUCUUCUUCUUCCUCCUCUCUUCUUCUUCCUCCUCUCUUCCCCAUCGUCGGCCGCACACCAUUUACUCCCGCUCACUGCUCGCCCGCCCGCGCCAUCUUCCUUGGUAGCUGCUCGCGUACCAUAUCCCCCCGCUCAAUGCUCGGCCACACAAGGAGAAGCUUCUUCGCUCGCUCGCCCGAAUCCAUCAAAGAAGGAUUGGCCAGUGCUGCCGGCUGGCAUCAAGUUCGAUCCCACGGAUCAGGAGCUGAUCGAGCACCUUGAGGCCAAAGUGAGUGCUGACAGCGUGAGAUUUCAGUCUCUCAUCGAUUUGUUCAUACCAACCAUUGACAGCGAGCAUGGCAUAUGCUACACCCAACCUGAGAAACUUCCAGGUAUCACACUGAGUGGCCUAAGUAAGCAUUUCUUCCAGCGCAAUUUCAGGGCGUUCAAAAGGGCCACGUGGACGUGUCGCAAGAUACAGUUGGAGUGCGGCAUGCACGCGAUGUGGUACAAGACCGACAAUACCUUGCCGGUGAUGGUCAACGACCGGCAGACGGGCAGCAAAAAGGUUCUGAUGCUGCACACCAACAAGAACUUCGACUAG
rnacentral:rRNA from 1 species